rnacentral:rRNA from 1 species
GGCCUACCAUGGUUUUAACGGGUAACGGGGAAUUAGGGUUCGAUUCCGGAGAGGGAGCCUGAGAAACGGCUACCACAUCCAAGGAAGGCAGCAGGCGCGCAAAUUACCCAAUCCCGACACGGGGAGGUAGUGACAAUAAAUAACAAUACGGGGCUCGUUUGGGUCUCGUAAUUGGAAUGAGUACAAUUUAAAUCCCUUAACGAGGAACAAUUGGAGGGCAAGUCUGGUGCCAGCAGCCGCGGUAAUUCCAGCUCCAAUAGCGUAUAUUAAAGUUGUUGCAGUUAAAAAGCUCGUAGUUGAACUUCGGGAUUUGCCCAUUGGUCAGGCUUAACUGUCUGUACUGGUGUGACGAGUUCCUACCUUCUGAGGAAUCUCCAUGUCAUUCAGUUGGUGUGGGGGGGAAUCAGGACUGUUACUUUGAAAAAAUUAGAGUGUUUAAAGCAGGCGUCCGUCUGAAUACAUUAGCAUGGAAUAAUAAAAUAGGACGUUUGGUUCUAUUUUGUUGGUUUCUAGGAUCACCGUAAUGAUUAAUAGGGAUAGUUGGGGGCAUUAGUAUUCAAUUGUCAGAGGUGAAAUUCUUGGAUUUAUUGAAGACUAACUACUGCGAAAGCAUUUGCCAAGGAUGUUUUCAUUAAUCAAGAACGAAAGUUAGGGGAUCGAAGACGAUCAGAUACCGUCGUAGUCUUAACCAUAAACUAUGCCGACUAGGGAUCGGACGAAGUUAAUUUUUUAAUGACUCGUUCGGCACCUUACG